UCAAGGUGUAAACACGCCCACCUUUCGGACAGAGACACCACAUCGUUGUACUCUUGUCCUUACGCUCAGACAGUAUGUCUAAUACGAGUCUCUUUAUCAAUCUAUCGGUCGCCAAAUCUCUCACCACACCUUUCAAAAAGUCUUUUCAUUUUAAAGCGAUCAGUGUUAGAUCAGAAGAAAAUGUAAUCACUAGAACAUAUGUGACAAGACCAGGCCUUCAUUUCAUGUAAAACAUCAACUAAAUUACAUAACCAAUCACUUCAUCUUGGACACCAGCUCGUAGAAGUUAGCCAACCAUGCUAACGUGUAGCUGCCUGUCGUUGAGAGGACGACUAAACGACCAGGUGCUGCAGCAUCACUCUCUCUUCACUUGACUGACCGCUGACAGAUCAAUCCAGUCGACAGGAACGGGACGGACUAAACCAUUCCGUGCAAUCGGAAGGAGGUACUGC